GAAGCUGUCAGAAAUAAUUAUAUGAAUUAAAUACCUGAUAGAUCUGUUACCGAUGAUAACAGGAGAGCGUGAUCGAUCUUGAGGACACCGUUCGAACGAAAUGAAUGGGAGCAGUGUCUAUUCUCGACGGCAUUGUUGUUGACAGUGAUAAAAGGAAGGAGAAUUUUAAGAAAUUAGAAAAAGAGAGAAGUUAUUGCAAAUAUUUGAAUGAUGGAAUAGUUAAAUAUCUGAAGGACUUCCUGUAGAUGAUGAGGGUAAUCAUUACUGAUUUGGAAGGCUGCUGUCCGAGCUUGUUGUUUGUUGAAUUGUUUAUGUAUCUGAUGGUUUCGUUGUUGAUAGUGAUGAGAGAGAGGAAAUUUCAGGAAA